rnacentral:lncRNA from 1 species
GAUGUCUGCAGCACAGGACAGCACAGGAAUCUCCAGCACUGUGCCUUAUUUAGAUCCUUCAGCAGCCCCUCGCCCCCCCAGUCUGGGUUUCUCUUCAGGGACUCGCAGAUUAAGCAUUAGGUUUCUCAUGGAGCUGUGUGUGUGUGUGUUUGUGUAUGUGUGUGAGUGUGUGUGUGUGAGAGAGAGAGACAGAGAGUGUGUGUGUCUGUGAGUGUGACUAAGACGGGUUGAGCUGCACACCGAGAGGAGAGAAGUAGCAACACAAUAUGCACUCUGGGAAUAAAGACAUUCAUGCCAAAAUAGAAGAGAGUGACAGACUAUAAUAAUAGUGUGGGUUUAAAUAGCUUCUCUCUGGUGGGGGCGUGACUGUAUUAUGCUGUGAAUGAACUUCAGUGCCCUGGAUGCAUACUUAAAAGGUUGCCAUUGUCUGUGGCGGGUGUUGCUCUGGUGAUUUCACUGCUCCCUGCAACUCGGCAUUUAAAAAAAGGUCAUUAGUCCAAUUAAAUAGAUAAAUUAAGUUUGAAUAACUAUGACCACGGAAUGCUUAAUGUGUCACAUUCUCAUAAUGGAAAAAGAAAUCAGCCGUAGCACGUCGGCGCUAAUUACGAGCAGCGUCGAUAAGAUUGUAAUCUUGUCCAAUCACUGGGAGUAAAUUGAGAUUAAUUGAGAAGCCCUCAUCCAGUGCAGCUGUGGUGAUGAUGGUGGUGAUGAGAGCUGGAGAGGAGAGGACGCUGCUGGCCCAGGGGGUAGAAGGCUGGCCUGGGCCUGUUGCAGGUAAGAAUGGCCAGCUGUGGCUGCUGUUUCUGGGGGAUCAUGUGGUUGAUCGUGCUGCUGGUGAUUGGCUGGCCUCUGAGCAUCUUCCUGGGGGGGCUGUACGGCUUCAUCGCCCCCCUGACGGCAUGUCUGGGAAUCGACCGCCUGGCAGACCUGCUGAUGGAGGGGGCCAACCUGGGACGCACCUGUGCCCAGAACAUGCGUCACGGGAAACCACUGUGCUGAGGAACGCCUGGCGGCUAGUAUAUACUUGUGAUGAAGCUAACCUGGCGCUACACAUGCACACAAAUCUGUGCAGAGCCUCACCUUUUCCAACACACACACACACACACACACACACACACACCUACCUAUCUGACCUGAACCUAACUUCUUCCAGCAGACAUACACACAUACCUAUCUGACCUGAACCUAACUUCUUCAAGCAGACAUACACAUAUACAUUAAAAUACAGCCACAUCUGUGCAGAGUUUGGCCUGUCCCAAACCACACACCAAUACACACACAUACUGAACCUAACCAACCCCAUUACACACACAGCAUGCCUGUCCCAACCCAUACACACACACACACACACACACACUCAUGCUGAACCUAACCGAUGCCAUUACACACAACAUUCCUGUCCCAACCCACACAAACACAUAAGUUUCAUUCCUCCCCACCCCACACUUGUGCAGAAGAAGCUGAGAAUAAACACAGGUCACCUCAGAUGGUUAUGCA